rnacentral:rRNA from 1 species
GAUGAACGCUGGCGGCGUGCCUAAUACAUGCCAGUCGAGCGAACAGAUAAGGAGCUUGCUCCUUUGACGUUAGCGGCGGACGGGUGAGUAACACGUGGAUAACCUACCUAUAAGACUGGGAUAACUUCGGGAAACCGGAGCUAAUACCGGAUAACAUAUUGAACCGCAUGGUUCAAUAGUGAAAGGCGGCUUUGCUGUCACUUAUAGAUGGAUCCGCGCCGUAUAGCUAGUUGGUAAGGUAACGGCUUACCAAGGCAACGAUACGUAGCCGACCUGAGAGGGUGAUCGGCCACACUGGAACUGAGACACGGUCCAGACUCCUACGGGAGGCAGCAGUAGGGAAUCUUCCGCAAUGGGCGAAAGCCUGACGGAGCAACGCCGCGUGAGUGAUGAAGGUCUUCGGAUCGUAAAACUCUGUUAUCAGGGAAGAACAAAUGUGUAAGUAACUGUGCACAUCUUGACGGUACCUGAUCAGAAAGCCACGGCUAACUACGUG